rnacentral:rRNA from 1 species
CCUGGUCAUUUAGAGGAAGUAAAAGUCGUAACAAGGUCUCCGUUGGUGAACCAGCGGAGGGAUCAUUACCGAGUUUACAACUCCCAAACCCCUGUGAACAUACCUAUACGUUGCCUCGGCGGAUCAGCCCGCGCCCUGUAAAAAGGGACGGCCCGCCCGAGGACCCUAAACUCUGUUUUUAGUGGAACUUCUGAGUAAAACAAACAAAUAAAUCAAAACUUUCAACAACGGAUCUCUUGGUUCUGGCAUCGAUGAAGAACGCAGCAAAAUGCGAUAAGUAAUGUGAAUUGCAGAAUUCAGUGAAUCAUCGAAUCUUUGAACGCACAUUGCGCCCGCCAGUAUUCUGGCGGGCAUGCCUGUUCGAGCGUCAUUUCAACCCUCAAGCUCAGCUUGGUGUUGGGACUCGCGGUAACCCGCGUUCCCCAAAUCGAUUGGCGGUCACGUCGAGCUUCCAUAGCGUAGUAAUCAUACACCUCGUUACUGGUAAUCGUCGCGGCCACGCCGUAAAACCCCAACUUCUGAAUGUUGACCUCGGAUCAGGUAGGAAUACCCGCUGAACUUAAGCAUAUCAAUAAGCGGAGGA